AUUGAACGCUAGCGGGAUGCUUUACACAUGCAAGUCGAACGGCAGCGCGGACUUCGGUCUGGCGGCGAGUGGCGAACGGGUGAGUAAUGUAUCGGAACGUGCCCAGUAGCGGGGGAUAACUACGCGAAAGCGUAGCUAAUACCGCAUACGCCCUACGGGGGAAAGCUGGGGAUCGUAAAACCUUGCACUAUUGGAGCGGCCGAUAUCGGAUUAGCUAGUUGGUGAGGUAACGGCUCACCAAGGCGACGAUCCGUAGCUGGUUUGAGAGGACGACCAGCCACACUGGGACUGAGACACGGCCCAGACUCCUACGGGAGGCAGCAGUGGGGAAUUUUGGACAAUGGGGGCAACCCUGAUCCAGCCAUCCCGCGUGGGCGAUGAAGGCCUUCGGGUUGUAAAGCACUUUUGGCAGGAAAGAAACGUCGCGGGCUAAUAACCCGUGGAACUGACGGUACCUGCAGAAUAAGCACCGGCUAACUACGUG
rnacentral:rRNA from 1 species